rnacentral:rRNA from 1 species
GUGGGGAAUUUUGGACAAUGGGGGCAACCCUGAUCCAGCCAUGCCGCGUGCGGGAAGAAGGCCUUCGGGUUGUAAACCGCUUUCGGACAGAAAGAAAUCGCCAGGGCUAAUACCCUUGGUGGAUGACGGUACUGUAAGAAGAAGCACCGGCUAACUACGUGCCAGCAGCCGCGGUAAUACGUAGGGUGCGAGCGUUAAUCGGAAUUACUGGGCGUAAAGCGUGCGCAGGCGGAUAUUUAAGCCAGACGUGAAAUCCCCGGGCUUAACCUGGGAAUUGCGUUUGGAACUGGAUGUCUAGAGUGCGGCAGAGGGAAGCGGAAUUCCACGUGUAGCAGUGAAAUGCGUAGAGAUGUGGAGGAACACCGAUGGCGAAGGCAGCUUCCUGGGCUAGCACUGACGCUCAUGCACGAAAGCGUGGGGAGCAAACAGGAUUAGAAACCCGGGUAGUCC